GCGCGCGUGGCGGAAUGGUAGACGCGCUGGCUUCAGGUGCCAGUGGCCGCUAAGGCCGUGGGGGUUCAACUCCCCCCGCGCGCACGA
rnacentral:tRNA from 1 species